rnacentral:lncRNA from 1 species
ACUUAUUUUGGUUCUUUUAUUUGAUGUUUAGAGCAUAAAUUAUGUAAAUCUUAUAAGAAAUAGGAUUGAAGAAGGAUUUUGGUAGCAAAGGGAGUAAUUAAGGCACCAAUAUAGAUGAAUGGAGAUGAAUGAUGAAAAUCUCCAUUUCUAUUGGUCAAAAAUCAUGACCAAUGGGCUUUGAGGAGGCUGCCGGAGGCCA